AAUAAUCUCAAUUUUCUAAUAAAUAUUAUCCCAGCAAACACAAAGUAACAGUAACAUAACAUCAAUGUUAUGUAACUGCAAUAUAACAUGCCUUGUACGUAACAGUUACAUUGUGGAGUGGGAAAUUAUGACAUUAAUGUUAUGUUACUGUACUUUGUGUUUGCUGGGAUAUAACGCGUGUGUUAAUAACUAGUGAUAAAAAUUAUUAUAUUCACAAUUUAUAAUCAAUAUACAUAGUCAAUAUACAUUAAUGUUACAUUUAUAAUCAUGUACGUAAACGUAUACGUGUUAUUUUCAUACAUUUGUCUUUUGCAUUAAUGUCGCGUUUAUUAAAUAGAAACUUAGCGUUCAAAAUGUUUCACGUCGUAAAACAAUCAUAUUUAAUUCGCAUAAUAUUUAAGAUAUGGGAGAUGAUGAGAAAAGUAUUGCCAGUGUCGAGAAAAAUGUCGGGAGUGUCGAGGAAAAUAUCGGGCGAUUUACGCGGAAAUAACGCACGUGUAGGCAGGACGCGGGAACACGUGCCGAUCGAUAGCCAAUGAAGUUGGCGCUUUCUGGAAAGUUACCUAGCAAUCGCCUAGCGUCGCUUUUUGCCGCGCGGCAAGAGUCCGUUACAAACGUCAGUGCAGUAGUGCAAACGUGUGACGCUAUCGUCGAAAAAAAUCCGCAUUGUUUAAACCUGUAUUAAUGGAAAUAUAUGGUAAUAAUUAUCAAUUUCUAAUUAUUGUCGGGCGUUGUUCUAAAAAUUCGCGUAAUAUCUAUGUUGCAGGAAGUUCGCGAGCGAUAAACGUCGGAAAAUUACGUAAAAACAGAGAUCGCGUAUAAACGUCGUGUAUAAAUAGAGAUCGCAUCGGGAGUGCCGAUUCAAAUACUCAACGUUUGCCGUUUAAUAACUGAUAUCGAACUUUUUGAAAUUAAAUUUUCGCGAGUGUGUGCCUUGUGAAAACCGGAUGAAUUCGCCAUCGACACAAAGGAGUUGGCAGAAUGACAGCAUUUUAUUGACAGGUGACAUCGCGCAAUGACUGGUCAGCAAUACGAUACGCUGAUGAACGGAUUAACCAAGGAUGAAGCUACCGCAACGACAUUUUAUAUAACUUCUCUAGUAAUUUAUGCGGUCACAAACGUCUUUCUGCGAAUAUUAAUGACCGGCUGCUGCGAAUUGGGAAGGAACUACAGCAAGAGUGCAGCAUUCAUGCAAGGAGAAGCGAAAUUACAAUCUCACCCUAGGAUAAUUAUCAUGACGAUGCAUGCGACGAGAAGAUGUUUGGAAAGGACCCCUGGACUACCUUUUCGAAGAACUCUUCAAACACCUCUCUUUCAAAUAUAAUCUGAUUUUGAAAAAAAUAGCGAUCGACUAGCGGUGAAUAAACCAGAUGAUGCAAUAUUAUGAAGAAUUUGUAUCUCUUCGCUAAAAAAUAUAAUUUUCAUGUAAAAACGAAACGCGAAUAAGUCCCUCGCACAUGCUUCCUUCUUUUCCGUAUAUUUCUUCAAAUUUUAUCAAUGUUUAGUAUUUCACAGAUUAUUCAAAUUAUUAUUCGUCGAUUUUACGCGAUUAACAUGUGCGCUGCUUCUUUACAUUUUCUUCCAUAUGAUUAAUAAAAUUAUUCAUUUCAUUUGUCGCUUUUAAGCCUUUUGUACUAUUUAAAUACCGUACUAGAAAAAAAUAUGUUUCCCGUUGAUUGUGUUCCCUUGUCUUCAUAUCAACUUUUUUUCGUCAUUUGGAAUGUUUUACAUAUCGUUACGAAGAUGAGGAUAUGAAUCAUUAGCUUAUUAGUUUUAUAUUAUCGACAUCUAUCCCGAAAGAAUUGCGUAUCAAAAUUAUGUGAGAAGCCCACGAUAUAUCCAAGUCAUUUAAAUUUAUAAAGAAAAUUUCUUGUAUCUAUCAUGUAAUUAUAUUGCUUUUAUAUGAAAAUAUUACGCAAAGUUGUGCCGAAUAUAUUUAAAAAAAUGUAAAACUUGUCGAAAGGAAAAACAUAAUAUUCUGAUUAAAUUGAUAGCUCAAACAUCACUGUUUGAUCGAUAUUGUCAAAAUAUUAUCGUAUUCACCGAUAUAAUUCUUUAGUAUUAAAUAUAAGCAUGCGUAUUAUUUUGCGAUAAAAAUCUGUUCUCCGAAUUAAUACAGCAUUGGCGAGCAUUGAUGAAUAUUCGUAAAGUGAUAAGAAGAUUCGGGAAACUGUCGAAAAUUUAUUCGUCGAGGACUGUCACGCCAUUCGUUUCGAUGCUAUUAUCGUUGCGAACUGGAACAAGGUGGAAGAUCCGCCAUAAUUUACAUUUUGCAUAUAGUUUCAAAUGAAUACGUGUAAAGCACACAUACAAAUGAAUUUUUAUCAAGAUUAUAUACUUAUAUAUUUUAGCAAUAUAUAAAUGUAUUUUUUAUAUAAGAGCAGAAAAAGCAAAAUUGAUAUUUUCGUGUUUUAGUAGAUUUAUAUUGAAAUUGUUGCUUUGGGUUUUGGAAUGAAAAAAAAACACACUUAUUUCAUUGCUUUUUCGAUAAAUUGCAACAUGCAUGCUGCUGGUAAAUGUGAAUAAUUUACAUUCUACGUUAUCUUAAUUAUAUCGCAUUAAUACAAUUACAUAUGCAUUAAUUAUUUCUAUUGGUAAACAAAAAUGUUGCAAAGUUUAUAUUGAUAUUAAAUAUAAUGUUAAGCUAAACGCGCUCUUAAAAAAUCAAAUAUACAUUAUUUAGUAAAGAGUAAGUAAGGUAAAUAUAUACCUAUAUUAGAGCCACAUAAAAAAUUUAUGAUUAGUAUACGCCACUCCAUAAAGUAAAUAUUACACUUAAUAUAGCACUUGAUAAAAUUUAAAUUAAUUACGAUAUUUCUCUGGUGCAAAAAAUCCUAAUUAAUUUCAAUUUGUUAAUUCAAUUGUAUCUACCAGGUACUUUGUAAUAAACAGGACUCGGGCAAUCAUCAUUGCUUAUGCCUGAAGAAUAAGACAUCAUUGUCUAUAUAUUUAAAGCACCACUUUCUGCACAUUUAUUUCCAAUCAAUGUGCUGGUAUAUUAAAAGUAAACAAUGCCUAGAGCACUCUAUUGGGUUUUAUCGCUCAGCAGUAAUUUUAACAGUCUCGGGCAUAAGCAAUAGUAACAUUCAAGUCCAGCUAUAAUAAGAUUACAUUAUCCACUUUAUAAUGAUAUAUGAUGUGGCUUUACAAGAGAAAUGCUUCAUCACUGAAUUCUAUUUGGCGUACUUUGUGAUCGACAUAAUUACUGCAUGAUUCUCUAAUAAUCAAUGAGGAAUGUCAGUGGCACAUAUUACGUAUGCAUAUGUAUAUAUACUUUGUGCGCAUUUUAACGUAUCGGUGAUAUACAACUAUCUUUCGAAUCUUUAAAAAUACAAUCAAGAAUUUAUCGGUUUCAAGAGAGUUGAUGAAAAAAUGUGUUGAUGAAAAAAAUAAACAUUUCCUAACAUUCUUUUUCCGAACCGUCUUAUCUAUGGAAUAUCACAGCGUACUUUUAUUCGAUUUCGUUAUUAUAAAGUUGCUUAUGAUAUACUAAGCCAAUGAAAAAUGUAUUCGUACACGUACUCACACACACACACACACACACGUAUACACAUAUAUAUAUACACACAUAGAAAGUAUAAAACUGACCUCAAAUAUAAUAUCGAUAUUUUACAUCUUUUUUCGAAGAAAGAAUACAGUAUACUCCCAAACGAGUAUAACGUAUCAAAGCUUUUCCUAAUGCUCUUUUCUCUAUCUCGAAUACCAUGAUAUAUAUUCGUUAAUAUCCAACUACGUCCAUCAUUGUUCAAGUGCGAAAAAAGCUUUGUUUUUAAAUCAUUUUUUUUAUUACAAUGUUCCAACAAUUUCAAAUAAUUUAUCCAAUUAAAGUAGCAAAGUCAGAUUCGAUCUACAAGCCUGCUUUCUUUGAUAAUAUUGAAAAUACAAAAUAAAAUGAAAAAAAAUAUAGCAAACCAAUUGAUGCAAUAAAAUUUUAUAUC